GGGACGGUGGAAAUUCUGCAAUUAGCAGUCGUCUUGCUCACACCUCGAAGGGCUUUAGGGAAAGAAAUCGAAAGUAGUAAACAUCGGCGGAGGGUAAAUGCGACAGACGCAGCUGCCAGCGCAGGGCCUGACUGCGACGGUGAGCCCAACCACUGUUCUGCGUCACUCUUCCGGAUCCGCGGAGGAGGCGCCGCCGAAGCAGGUCGCACUCGCCAUGGACAGACUCGGCCAUGCCGCCCGCCUCAUCGCUGACAUCAGGCUCGGCGCUGAUCGCCUUCUUGAAGCCCUCUGCGUCACUGCACAGCCUCACCAGAGCACCAAGCCUCUCCACUUGUUCCAAAAAGAAGACGCUUCCAUGCGCCAACACCUUCUUGACCUUCGUGCUGUUGGAAAGCAGCUUGAAGAGUCUGGUGUUCUCAGUGAAUCUCUUCUUUCGAGAAGUAAUUCCUGGGGUCUACAUAUGCCUUUAGUGUGUCCUGAUGGCGCAGUGGUUGCUUAUGCUUGGAAACGUCAAUUAGCUGGCCAGGCUGGUGCAUCAGCAGUUGACAGAACCAGGUUAGCUCUAAAGGCCUUCACUGACCAGAAAAGACGGUUUUUCCCUCAUCUUGAUGAAGAAAAUGGGUCGAAUAUGGAGCCUGCUCAAAAGAAGCCUUGUUUUUCUCAUGGAGUGACAGAUGUUAAACAAGAGGAGCUUAAUGAUUCUAGUUCACUUUCAGAUAUUCUAACAUGUAUGGAAAAGGAAGUGCCAGACCUUAAGAUUUUCACAUAUGAGCGAUUGGACUGGUUGAAACAAGCUUCAGCACUUCCCUCACAAGCAAAUGAAAAUUCCAUAGGAGCAUUGAAAGAACAUAACUAUCAUAGUCCUAGGAUGAGCCCCAGAUCACUUGAUGCUACUUCUACUGAUAAAGCUGCUGUGAUUGAGUUGAUAAUCCCUUCUGUCUUUAGAGCCGUAGUGUCGCUGCAUCCAGUUGGUUCGGUUGAACCAGAUGCUGUAGCUUUCUUUUCUCCUGAUGAGAGAGGCAGCCAUGUACAUGCCAGGGGUUUUUCGAAUCAUCAUUUAUUUAGACAUGUGACGGAGCAUGCUGCCACGGUGCUGCAGUACUUUAUUGGAAUUCAAGCUAAAGCAGCUCUACAUCCUCUAUUGCUUUGGAUCUGCAGCUAUCAAAAUUUAUUUUCAAAAGCUUGUAGUAAAUGCGGACGGCUACUAUCAGUAAACAAACAAUCAGAUUUACUGCUACCUCCUGCAAUUCGCCCCUACAAGCAGUUUUGUACAUCUAAAAUUUCAUCAGUUGUGCCCGUAACCUCAUUGAAAGACCAGAAGUUGGAUUCUGUUCAGGCUUUCCACAUUGGUUGCUUCACAGAACUGUAGUCACACCUAGCUCUACAGGUAUAGCUGGAUAAACCACACAAUUGCUCGAUCCUUUUAAAAGCCUCUAGUUGAUUAUGAAAUUAUUUUAUCUGGUGCUACACGGUCAUUUGUAAAUUGCUGCACUGCGUUGCAACAAGUACAUUAGAGGGAGUGGUAUUCAGAAUAUUCAGAGGAGGCAAUGAUAAUGUCAAAAGAACCAUCCAAUUUCUGAGGUGGCUAUUUUUAUGCUGGCUCAAGUGGCUUGUCAUCUUGAAGGCAAGAAAAUGUCAUUUGCAUCGAUUUGAGCAGUUGCUAGCUCCUUCAUACGUUUGAUCACAGAAACAUUUGUAUCUUGUCCCUUCAGAUUGAUGUUAGAAUGAUAAUAAGUUCGGUGUUGGGUGCACGGCCAUUUAGGUAAGUGCUUCAUCAUUUACUUAUUCUAAUAUUAUCUUGUACUCUACUAAUUUCCCCUCUUCCACCUAACUUUGCCGUCAAUAUUUGCUUAUUAUUUCAGUUAGCAACAAAAUUUGGAAAUGCGAUGAUUUGUAUUAGAUGUGGGACUAUGAUAAUACAUCAUAAUUUCAAUUAUAUGUGACAAAAUUUGUAUGAA